UAAAACAAUUAAUAUUAACCCUCUAUUCUUUCUCUUAAAAUUGCUUUGCAGUGAAUUGAAUUUUGUGGGCGACUGAACUUUAACCUCAUUCUGUGGCCUUUUCAAUUGUUUUAACGCCACGCCCACGUGAAAAUACACAGAUGGACAUUAUAUCCAUUGUUGGACCCCCAUAGACAAUGGGGAAAUCCUCUUAUUCAAGUCCCCGCCUCGAUGGUCUUUCUAUUCUGCGCUCUCUUUGUGGUCCAACCUUUUUAGCCACUUUCGUUUUAAUGUAAUCAAAUGAACGUGCCUCGCAUUAUUCUGUUGCCAAUAAAUUUCACGAGGCAAAUAGAUGAGGAUUGGAUACCGGUCCCCAUGGCUGUUGGCUACUACUUUCGGAGGGUCCUUUUCACCCACGGGAUCCUAGCGUUCAGCAUUGCGAGAAAAUAUCGUAGGUAUUGAGAAAAAUAGUUUACAAAAAUUAAAGUGAAGUUUUUAAGAUUAAAUUUAUAAAGUUGUGUACGGUUGUAGAAAAAUUAUGUUAAAUAAAUAAAAAUAAAACACAAUUUAUUUUUAAAGACAAGUA